rnacentral:rRNA from 1 species
UACGGGGGGGGCAAGCGUUGUUCGGAAUUACUGGGCGUAAAGGGCUCGUAGGUGGCCAACUAAGUCAGACGUGAAAUCCCUCGGCUUAACCGGGGAACUGCGUCUGAUACUGGAUGGCUUGAGUUUGGGAGAGGGACGCGGAAUUCCAGGUGUAGCGGUGAAAUGCGUAGAUAUGCGGAGGAACACCGAUGGCGAAGGCAAUCCCCUGGACCUGUACUGACGCUCAUGCACGAAAGGCGUGGGGAGCAAACAGG